UUCCAGAAUACCGUUGCACUCGCCGUAUCUUGUCCUAGAUGAACAAGUUCUUCCACUUGGAGCUGCUCUUCAUGCAGCAGUUGCAAUUUCUUACUUGGAUCAACACUAUUCAGCUCAUGUAUCCAGUAAUUUAAGAGUGUAGGACUUAGGAGAAUGGUAUUUGCCACAUUUCUUUGUUUCAUUAAUGGGGGAUUUCAAACAACAAUGAUGUCAG
rnacentral:misc_RNA from 1 species